CACGGGGGGAGCAAGCGUUGUUCGGAAUCAUUGGGCGUAAAGCGCGUGUAGGCGGCCCGGUAAGUCCGCUGUGAAAGUCGGGGGCUCAACCCUCGAAUGCCGGUGGAUACUGUCGGGCUAGAGUACGGAAGAGGCGAGUGGAAUUCCUGGUGUAGCGGUGAAAUGCGCAGAUAUCAGGAGGAACACCAAUUGCGAAGGCAGCUCGCUGGGACGUCACUGACGCUGAGACGCGAAAGCUAGGGGAGCAAACAGG
rnacentral:rRNA from 1 species